rnacentral:rRNA from 1 species
GGAUUAGAUACCCUGGUAGUCCACGCCGUAAACGAUGUGUGCUAGUUGUUGGGACUCUUAGAGUUUCAGUGACGCAGAGAAAUCAUUAAGCACACCGCCUGGGGAGUACGGCCGCAAGGUUAAAACUCAAAGGAAUUGACGGGGACCCGCACAAGCGGUGGAGCAUGUUGUUUAAUUCGAAGCAACGCGAAGAACCUUACCCACUCUUGACAUCCUCCUUGGGACUUUCAGAGAUGAUUGUCUUCGGUUCGGCCGGGGGAGUGACAGGUGCUGCAUGGCUGUCGUCAGCUCGUGCCG